rnacentral:rRNA from 1 species
CCUACGGGGGGCUGCAGUCGAGGAUCUUCGGCAAUGGGCGCAAGCCUGACCGAGCGACGCCGCGUGCGCGAUGAAGGCCUUCGGGUUGUAAAGCGCUGUCGAGGGGGAGGAAAGCCGCAAGGUCUGACCUAUCCCUGGAGGAAGCACGGGCUAAGUUCGUGCCAGCAGCCGCGGUAAGACGAACCGUGCAAACGUUGUUCGGAAUCACUGGGCUUAAAGGGCGCGUAGGCGGGUGGUCAAGUCAGGGGUGAAAUCUUUCGGCUCAACCGGAAAACAGCCUCUGAUACUGACCGUCUUGAGCGAGGUAGGGGCAUGUGGAACUUCCGGUGGAGCGGUGAAAUGCGUUGAUAUCGGAAGGAACGCCGGUGGCGAAAGCGACGUGCUGGACCUCUUCUGACGCUGAGGCGCGAAAGCUAGGGGAGCGAACGGGAUUAGAUACC